rnacentral:rRNA from 1 species
UGGGGAAUAUUGCACAAUGGGCGCCAGCCUGAUGCAGCCAUGCCGCGUGUAUGAAGAAGGCCUUCGGGUUGUAAAGUACUUUCAGCGGGGAGGAAGGUGUUGUGGUUAAUAACCACAGCAAUUGACGUUACCCGCAGAAGAAGCACCGGCUAACUCCGUGCCAGCAGCCGCGGUAAUACGGAGGGGGCAAGCGAUAAUCGGAAUUACUGGGCGUAAAGCGCACGCAGGCGGUCUGUCAAGUCGGAUGUGAAAUCCCCGGGCUCAACCUGGGAACUGCAUCCGAAACUGGCAGGCUUGAGUCUUGUAGAGGGGGGUAGAAUUCCAGGUGUAGCGGUGAAAUGCGUAGAGAUCUGGAGGAAUACCGGUGGCGAAGGCGGCCCCCUGGACAAAGACUGACGCUCAGGUGCGAAAGCGUGGGGAGCAAACA